AAAACGGCCAACGGCAGACAGUGUGGUAUCACAAAUCCAUAAAGCGAGGGUUCUACAAAUGGAUUAUGAAAGAUGGCUGGCCAAAUUGAGCGACUGUAGAGAGAUAGUCCAAAUGGCAGUCCCAAAGAUUGAUGCUAAAGGAAAGGAUCUUUACGACAUACUCUGCAAAGGAAUCGUCAUUGAUGAGGGCAAACAGUGGUUCUCACUCGGAAGUAAUUGGGAGAAAAAUGUAAUGAUAGCAUCAAGCCAAUUUUCGUAUGAAAAUCAUCACUCGCUUA